ensembl:lncRNA
UGUGUUCAUACAGUAAUAAACUCCUAAUUCAUCAGCAGUCACAUUAUUAAUAACCAGACGAUGUUUAAACUGCACUGAAUAUUUGUUUCUGAAUGUCUUAUUAAAGUAAAAAGGUGAAUUUGGUGCUGUGAAUGAUCGUAGAAUCACUGUCGGAGGAUCUGCUGUUUUCAGUAAAAUCCAAUAAACCUCAUUUUCAUCAAGAUCACAGUUUAUGAUCACAUUUGAUCCCAGAUCAGUCAGUAGAUCUGAAACUGCAGCUUUAAUACAGAUUAAUAUAUCUAUAAAAUAAAAUGAAUGAAUAAAUAAAUAUAUAAAAUAAACAUGCAUCAUAAUUAAGAUUAUCUGCUCACAAGCACAGUAAAACUUAAAACAAUUCAUGACCAUUUGAAGUUUAUAACCAGCAUCUUCAUGUUGUCGUGAUUAAAUGAAAUCUGCUUCUCUCCACACAACAGUUAAGAUGAAUCUACUGCAGCUCUGAAGCAAAGACAGGAAGAAGAAAAAAAAACCCUUCAACUUCAGAGGAAGUCACACUUCAACACUUAAUGCCCACCAUCUUCACUUCAUCAGGAAAUUAUUCUGUGCAUUGUUGUUUAUAGUUAGCCCUUUCUUUGCUAUAAAACCUUUGAUCUUGUUAACCAUAUGAAUGUGACGUGUGUUUCUUAAUACUGCCUGCAGAGAAACAUCCCCUGAUUCUGCUGAUUCUGGAGCUGUUACUGUCACACAGAACUUCAGGAUUGAUUCUGUGGAGUCUCAGGAGGACUGUUGAACAAACUCACAGUUCUCUCAAAUUUCUCUUCAGGGUGAGGGUGUAACUGGAAGAUCUGCAUUUAUGUCAUUCUCUCACAGUGACCGAAAAAGAUAAAAAUAGAAAGAGAGUUGCUGUCAUUUGUUUCUUGUUAAACACAAUUAUACACAAAGAAAACAUAACGGCUAUAAAUAGACAAUACAACAAUUUUAAACAUAGAAUAUGAGACAAGUUUUAAUAAUAUGUGAGAUUAUUUGAAACUGAAUGUUUAAGAAAAAUGUUGAGGUUGCAGCUUGGUUUUAAGGCUCUCUCUCUCUCUCUCUCUCAUUUAAUGCCUUUAUCUGUAUACCACUAAACUCACUUAUCACGUACUGAACACUAUUUCCACUCUACAGCGUCAGCGAGCCUAGUGAACUGCUUAGGCUGCCC